rnacentral:rRNA from 1 species
GACGAGGGAUCCUAGCGUUGUUCGGAAUCAUUGGGCGUAAAGCGGAUGUAGGUGGCUUUGUAAGUCGGGUGUGAAAGCCCAGGGCUCAACCCUGGAAGUGCAUUCGAUACUGCGAAGCUUGAGUGCUAGAGAGGUUACUAGAAUACCUGGUGUAGUGGUGAAAUACGUAGAUAUCAGGUGGAAUACCGGAGGCGAAGGCGGGUAACCAGCUAGACACUGACACUCAGAUCCGAAAGCGUGGGGAGCGAACAGG